UACGAAGGGGCUAGCGUUGCUCGGAAUCACUGGGCGUAAAGGGUGCGUAGGCGGGUCUUUAAGUCAGGGUGAAAUCCUGGAGCUCAACUCCAGAACUGCCUUUGAUACUGAGGAUCUUGAGUUCGGGAGAGGUGAGUGGAACUGCGAGUGUAGAGGUGAAAUUCGUAGAUAUUCGCAAGAACACCAGUGGCGAAGGCGGCUCACUGGCCCGAUACUGACGCUGAGGCACGAAAGCGUGGGAGCAAACAGG
rnacentral:rRNA from 1 species